rnacentral:rRNA from 1 species
CCUACGGGAGGCAGCAGUGGGGAAUUUUGGACAAUGGGCGCAAGCCUGAUCCAGCAAUGCCGCGUGCAGGAUGAAGGCCUUCGGGUUGUAAACUGCUUUUGUACGGAACGAAAAGGCUCUGGUUAAUACCUGGGGCUCAUGACGGUACCGUAAGAAUAAGCACCGGCUAACUACGUGCCAGCAGCCGCGGUAAUACGUAGGGUGCGAGCGUUAAUCGGAAUUACUGGGCGUAAAGCGUGCGCAGGCGGUUAUGUAAGACAGAGGUGAAAUCCCCGGGCUCAACCUGGGAACUGCCUUUGUGACUGCAUAGCUAGAGUACGGCAGAGGGGGAUGGAAUUCCGCGUGUAGCAGUGAAAUGCGUAGAUAUGCGGAGGAACACCGAUGGCGAAGGCAAUCCCCUGGGCCUGUACUGACGCUCAUGCACGAAAGCGUGGGGAGCAAACAGGAUUAGAUACCCUGGUAGUCCACGCCCUAAACGAUGUCAACUGGUUGUUGGGUCUUAACUGACUCAGUAACGAAGCUAACGCGUGAAGUUGACCGCCUGGGGAGUACGGCCGCAAGGUUGAAACUCAAAUGAAUUGACG